UGACACUGCGCAUGACUCAGUGGUUAGCAUUGCUGCCCCACAGUACCAGGGACCUGCAUUCGAAUCCAGCCUCGGGCGACUGUACAUUUGUGAUGUUUUGUGCUGGCAUUCUAUAGGAUUAAAGUCACAAACAACUUUUCCACACUUCGUCUCAUUUGAUGGCUGUCCAUUAUGACAGCCUUGGAUACAGGAUAUAUGACAGAAGGUGGCAUACAAUGCACAAACACAGGACC